rnacentral:rRNA from 1 species
AGAGUUUGAUCAUGGCUCAGAUUGAACGCUGGCGGCAGGCCUAACACAUGCAAGUCGAACGGUAACAGGAAGCAGCUUGCUGCUUCGCUGACGAGUGGCGGACGGGUGAGUAAUGUCUGGGAAACUGCCUGAUGGAGGGGGAUAACUACUGGAAACGGUGGCUAAUACCGCAUAACGUCGCAAGACCAAAGAGGGGGACCUUCGGGCCUCUUGCCAUCAGAUGUGCCCAGAUGGGAUUAGCUAGUUGGUGAGGUAACGGCUCACCAAGGCGACGAUCCCUAGCUGGUCUGAGAGGAUGACCAGCCACACUGGAACUGAGACACGGUCCAGACUCCUACGGGAGGCAGCAGUGGGGAAUAUUGCACAAUGGGCGCAAGCCUGAUGCAGCCAUGCCGCGUGUAUGAAGAAGGCCUUCGGGUUGUAAAGUACUUUCAGCGGGGAGGAAGGUGUUGUGGUUAAUAACCGCAGCAAUUGACGUUACCCGCAGAAGAAGCACCGGCUAACUCCGUGCCAGCAGCCGCGGUAAUACGGAGGGUGCAAGCGUUAAUCGGAAUUACUGGGCGUAAAGCGCACGCAGGCGGUCUGUCAAGUCGGAUGUGAAAUCCCCGGGCUCAACCUGGGAACUGCAUUCGAAACUGGCAGGCUUGAGUCUUGUAGAGGGGGGUAGAAUUCCAGGUGUAGCGGUGAAAUGCGUAGAGAUCUGGAGGAAUACCGGUGGCGAAGGCGGCCCCCUGGACAAAGACUGACGCUCAGGUGCGAAAGCGUGGGGAGCAAACAGGAUUAGAUACCCUGGUAGUCCACGCCGUAAACGAUGUCUACUUGGAGGUUGUGCCCUUGAGGCGUGGCUUCCGGAGCUAACGCGUUAAGUAGACCGCCUGGGGAGUACGGCCGCAAGGUUAAAACUCAAAUGAAUUGACGGGGGCCCGCACAAGCGGUGGAGCAUGUGGUUUAAUUCGAUGCAACGCGAAGAACCUUACCUGGUCUUGACAUCCACGGAAGUUUUCAGAGAUGGACUGGUGCCUUCGGGAACCGUGAGACAGGUGCUGCAUGGCUGUCGUCAGCUCGUGUUGUGAAAUGUUGGGUUAAGUCCCGCAACGAGCGCAACCCUUAUCCUUUGUUGCCAGCGGUCCGGCCGGGAACUCAAAGGAGACUGCCAGUGAUAAACUGGAGGAAGGUGGGGAUGACGUCAAGUCAUCAUGGCCCUUACGACCAGGGCUACACACGUGCUACAAUGGCGCAUACAAAGAGAAGCGACCUCGCGAGAGCAAGCGGACCUCAUAAAGUGCGUCGUAGUCCGGAUUGGAGUCUGCAACUCGACUCCAUGAAGUCGGAAUCGCUAGUAAUCGUGGAUCAGAAUGCCACGGUGAAUACGUUCCCGGGCCUUGUACACACCGCCCGUCACACCAUGGGAGUGGGUUGCAAAAGAAGUAGGUAGCUUAACCUUCGGGAGGGCGCUUACCACUUUGUGAUUCAUGACUGGGGUGAAGUCGUAACAAGGUAACCGUAGGGGAACCUGCGGUUG